rnacentral:rRNA from 1 species
AGUGAACGCUGGCGGCAGGCCUAACACAUGCAAGUCGAGCGGCAGCGCGGGAGCAACCCGCGCGUACGGCGGCGGACGGGUGGGGGAGUGGUCGGAACCUGCCUAUUUAUGGGGGCGAGCGUGGGGACGCAGGCGCACAUACCGCAAAAGCGCUACGGGCGUACGGGGGAGAGCGCAGGACCUUCCGCCGUUAGACGAGCGGACGACCGGAUGGCGGAUUAGCUAGUUGGCGGGGUAAAGGCCCACCAAGGCGACGAUCGGUAGCUGGUCUGAGAGGAUGCUCAGCCACACUGGAACUGAGACACGCUCCAGACUCCUACGGGAGGCAGCAGUGGGGAAUAUUGGACAAUGGGCGCAAGCCUGAUCCAGCCAUACCGCGUGGGUGAAGAAGGCCUUCGGGUUGUAAAGCCCUUUUGUUGGGAAAGAAAAGCAGCAGGUUAAUACCCCGCUGUUCUGACGGUACCCAAAGAAUAAGCACCGGCUAACUUCGUG